AUUCAGCUGACGAGUCCCAAAUAGGACGAAACUCACGUCCCGGAU
rfam:Schistosoma haematobium scaffold16_6, whole genome shotgun sequence.